ensembl:lncRNA
UCUGUCAUCUGGCGAAUUCAGCGCGUUUCGGCCGAUGCGGAGGCGAUUUCGAUGAAUCCCUGCUGCACUACAGUAUGUGCAGGAGGCCUAACGUUACAACUUAACAGUGGGUUGCAUGUUUAGGGGCCUCAAACAGGGAGGAGACCAUGAACCUCAACGAGAAGAAGCCCAACAAGUGGUGGACUGAACCGGACACGUUUGCCAUGCUGGCCCUCAUAGAGCAGAUGGGUCUGGUCCACGAGCUGGAUAAGAAGCGUCAGCGCAACGAAUCCCUUUUCCGACGCCUCAGGCUGAGUCUGGCAAAGCGGGGAAUCCACUUCACCGUCACCCAGAUCCGAAACCGCUGGAAGAGCCUCAAACACAAGUACCGUAAGAUCAAACUGGCCAGCUACCGAAGUCCAGCCGCUCGCCUCUCUGCCGUCGAGUCUUUCCGCUACUUCCAUAUGCUGGAUCACAUGUUGGUGCGCAGACCGAAGGCGGGAGGCAGGGAGGACGACCUCGCAGAUGCUCACGCCCUGCUAGGACGGUCACUCGUGGACCUGGAGGACCCUGCAGACAGUCCUUGGCUUGAAGGCCUACUCCCUAAAUCUGAGCCUGAGAGCAUGUCUUCUAAACUUGAACCUGAUGUUGACGACAGUCUGAAUCCAGAUGACGUGGCUGGUCCUGAGCCGCCGAGCUGGCCUGUAGGACCAGAUGAAGUUAUGACCCUGGGCUUGUCAGGAGAAUACCUCUAUGCAGUGAAGACCGAGCCACCGUCCCUAUGCACUCCCAACAGCACAGAAAGUACAAGAGACGCCAUUGACUGCAGCCACAGUGAUUUCCCAGGAACGUCUGAAGAGACCAGCAGCCUCAUCCUCCAGCAGCUCACCAUCCUGAACCACCGGCUUGGAGAACAGCUGGCCGAGCAGAGAGCCUUCCACUGCAGCAUGCUGGGAAUGAUGGAUCGCCAGAUCCAGGUCUUGGAGCAGCUCUCCAAUUUCACCAGGAACCACCAAUCCAAGUUUGAGACCCCAGACGUGGACUCUUCAGCCAGUCCAAGUGUGCACGAAGCUCAAACGCAGACUUUUGAUCAACAUCCCAUGUUCCUCAUGCCCAAAAGCGAACCAGCAGCUGCUCCUUGGAAGGUCUCUCUCUUGGAAGUCCACAAGAGGUCACCCUCUGAGUCGGGCAGUGACACUGAGACUCCUCAAGCCCUGGAAGGGUGCGAAGCAAACACCUCUAGCCCACCUUCUUUGGGGAUUUCGCCCUCAACCAAGAACGCUGUUGUACAGAAUGGAUUGUGUAAGCACGAUUGA